rnacentral:rRNA from 1 species
AGAUGGAUUAGCGGCGGACGGGUGAGUAACACGUGAGUAACCUGCCUUAGACAUUGGGAUAGCCUCGGGAAACCGGGAUUAAUACCAAAUGAAAUCACAUAUGCACAUGCAUAAAUGAUCAAAGCUCCGGCGGUCUAAGAUGGACUCGCGUCCCAUUAGCUAGUUGGUGAGGUAACGGCCCACCAAGGCGACGAUGGGUAGCCGGCCUGAGAGGGUGAACGGCCACAUUGGAACUGAGAAACGGUCCAAACUCCUACGGGAGGCAGCAGUGGGGAAUAUUGCACAAUGGAGGGAACUCUGAUGCAGCGACGCCGCGUGAACGAAGAAGGCUUUCGAGUCGUAAAGUUCUUUUAUAUGGGAAGAUAAUGACGGUACCAUAAGAAAAAGCCCCGGCUAACUACGUGCCAGCAGCCGCGGUAAUACGUAGGGGGCUAGCGUUGUCCGGAAUCACUGGGCGUAAAGGGUUCGCAGGCGGAAAUGCAAGUCAGGUGUAAAAGGCAGUAGCUUAACUACUGUAAGCAUUUGAAACUGCAUAUCUUGAGAAGAGUAGAGGUAAGUGGAAUUUUUAGUGUAGCGGUGAAAUGCGUAGAUAUUAAAAAGAAUACCGGUGGCGAAGGCGACUUACUGGGCUCAUUCUGACGCUGAGGAACGAAAGCGUGGGUAGCAAACAGGAUUAGAUACCCUGGUAGUCCACGCUGUAAACGAUGAGUGCUAGGUAUCGGAAUAAUUCGGUGCCGCAGUUAACACAUUAAGCACUCCGCCUGGGGAGUACGUGCGCAAGCAUGAAACUCAAAGGAAUUGACGGGGACCCGCACAAGCAGCGGAGCAUGUGGUUUAAUUCGAAGCAACGCGAAGAACCUUACCAGGGCUUGACAUACUGAGGACCGGUAUAGAGAUAUACCCUCUUCUUCGGAAGCCUCAAUACAGGUGGUGCAUGGUUGUCGUCAGCUCGUGUCGUGAGAUGUUCAGUUAAGUCUGGCAACGAGCGCAACCCCUAUCUUUAGUUACCAGCAUUUCGGAUGGGGACUCUAAAGAGACUGCCGAUGAUAAAUCGGAGGAAGGUGGGGAUGACGUCAAAUCAUCAUGCCCUAUAUGCCCUGGGCUACACACGUGCUACAAUGGAAGAUACAAAGGGAAGCGAAAUAGUGAUAUUAAGCAAACCUCAAAAAGUCUUUCCCAGUUCGGAUUGUACUCUGCAACUCGAGUACAUGAAGAUGGAGUUGCU